GGAUCCGUGCCGCUAAGCAUUUAGCGGUUAUUGGUUCUGGCGCAACACACACCAUCUGAAUCGUGUUGGAAUUUGAGCACAUGAAAAUUGGAACAUUCUUUGUCCAUAGCAUCAAUCGGCACUUUCGGAUGAGUGGAAUAUUCAAUAUUCGGCUUGUGCUCAAAUGCGAGACGGAUAAACGAAGCUGAUGUAAGUUCUCGAUCUGCUUAUACUUGCGUUGACAGCCAUUUUCGCUAUAAGUGUCAAAUACGAAAAGGAGCACCUGUCUCGGUACCAAAUGUCGUUGCUAAUUAUGAUCUUAGUGAGUGCGGUCGUAUUUUUGUCUCGUUCCGUACAAACAGUGGAAUCUGAAACCUGCCAAAGCAACCGGAGCUGCUCCUUCCGUUGAUCUGGGAGAUGAGUUAUCAGCAGGAACAAGCUGACAAAUUAAUUUGUUUGGGAUGGGGAGAAUCCCUUCAGACGAAGAAAUAAGCUGGCCCUAUCACCAAUGCAACCGACUGAAGCAGUAGAAAGAAGCGCACGUUCCUCUCCUCCAAUGUUGCAGCGCCUCAAGAAGAGCACGCAGCCCGUAAAGAAAUAUCAAUGCCGCAUUGUGCUUUUUCCAAAAGGCCAGAGGGCUGUGCAAGCUGAUGGUGAUCCCAAAGAUAUCCCAAAGACAUCACAAAUUCAAUGAGGCACCUGGUGGAUGAAAUCUACUACCUGCAGUGAGAAGUGGGCUUGUACUGCAGGCGGUCUCUGCGGAACAUGCUGUAACCAAGGGCACAUAUGCUAACGAGACGGAGAGGGUGGGAAUGAGGUCACGGCCAAAGACCACGAAUACCAACCGAUGAAGGAUAGAUGAAUAUAAUCCAAUUAACUCUCAAACACUUUGCGAGGAGGCACAGCAACUGCUGGAGCAGACCAUAAGAGAGCACCGUAUUGACGUAGCCUUCAUAAACGAGCAAGACAACUGCUCAUCUGGGCAGUCGACUCUAGCAACAAGCAAGUGAUAGAGCUGUGAAGUCCCAUGCUGAUGAAGCGGUAGUAACAACCAACGCUCAUAUCAGGCGACUUCAACGCAUGGAUGUCCAAGAACCAAUCCCAGGGAACACGCAAUCUUGGAAUGCUUUGCGACGCUCGAUAACGUGGUGCUGAAUACAGGCACGCAGCAGGCAUUCGGCAGAGCAGGCACGGUUGAAUUUGGUUGUAUUAAUUAAUUAAAUGCAAUUCUGAAAAGCUGAUUAAUUUAACUAUAAAUCAAACCUAAACACUUUGUAGCGCUAGCUUACUGUCUGGGAAAUAUUAAGCUUUCAAAUUAAAAUGUAAUCAUUUUAUACGUUUUUUUUUUUCUAAAAUUUGACCUUUGAAAAAUCGUUGCAUCUCAAGAUUUUAUCCAUCGAUUUUUACAAACGAUAUCUUAAACGACGCCCAAUUAAUGUACCUAUACCAGAAAAAUACAAAACCUCAAGGAAUAAAUUAAUUUCUCCUUUUACGAGUUUUCAAAGUCAAAAUUUCUUUUAAAAAUACCACCAAAAUGUUUCAAUUUAAAAGCUUUAUAUUUUCUAGACAAUAAGCUACAAAGUGUUCGGGUAAAAUCUAUAGCUGUAUUUAUUCUGGAGUUAUUUAAAGUUGUAAAGGGCGAGCCCGACCGUGUUCCACCGUCUCCUACUCUUCCUCAUCUCUACCGCUAUGGCAAAAGCCUUUAAAUGGGGAGCCCAGCCUUCAUGUAUGGGACCAUUUGGUGUAUUUGGCCACGUUUCCAGAAGGUCCGCAACAUUGCUUAGCUGCCUUUCCCAAGUGUAAGUUUGGAGAGGUGCUUUGUCACCCACCCCAGUUUCGGGAUGGGACUCACUCGGGUUCGUACCAGCGUCUUCCACCGUGCACGUAUUUUCAGCUGUUGAGCUGGUUGGGCCAGGCUUUCGGGCCGCUUCCUUUUCGUGCUUGAGUCUGCUCACUAUAAUCGUUUUGUGAGCGCCAGUCUCAUUUUUCUUUUGUGUUUUCAUAUAUUUGUCAUCUCACGAAACGCAUAGAAGGAGAAAGGUCAGCCAGGGUACAGAUCCACGUUACCUUGGUAAGGCAUCGUGAGAACAGGGUGCUGCCAAGUCCCUGAGCUCCAAUCGCGACUAGGCUAGUUUCUAAACCGGGACCCCAGGCAGGCUAAAUAACACGGGUCGAAUAAUACACUUAGUCCAGCCUGGUAUGAGGGGUUGAGUUUGGGGUUUGGGGGUUGGGAUUUGGAUAUGUCGUGUGUAGGAGUGUGUGACUUAUACGAGGCGGAACCAUAAGCGCAUUGUAAUUUUUCGCGAAGACUCUCUGGCUGUCCGGUCCUGCUUAUUUUCGGUACUUUCCCUAGGGAUGUCCUCUUAUUCGUAGCUGACCCACCUAUUGAGGUUGACAUCUCGCUAUCCGCAACCUGCUAGGCCCCUUUUGAGCAAAAAAGCUAUUCCGGCCGGAUAAGAUUGCUUCAUUCAAAUCAAGAUAAAACUCAGCUCAACUUGUUAACAAAGUUGUUGAACAUUUUCCUCUUACUAAAGAAAAAAUAGUCGAAACCAAACUUCACGCAAUAACUGAAGAGCAAGUCCGAGUGGUAUCUAAAUUACACCACGAAAAACUAAUACACGUAUCAAAUCAUAGGAAAGCAAAAGCAUACAGGUGGUACUUAAAGGUAUAUAUAACCGAACGUAACUUCUGCUGAAAUCCCAGAUGCAAUAUGGGCCACAACUUAUGGUCGAGCUCGAGCCAGACGUCCGAACAUUGAUGGAAAAUGAAGUCCACCCAAUCUACAAACUGCAGCUCCUGUUUCACCAGAAGUAACUCAUAAAAUUAAUAGUCAAGUGCAAUGCACGAAUUUCCAGGAAAAUGGGUACACCAAGACUUACUGUACUCUAGGAUCAGUCUGCGAAGCCUGUGUAGACUGCCACGACUCAGAUCCUUGCACCAACACACACACCACCAAGUACUAAGUCGCUUUCGGAUCUAUCGAAUGAUUACUCGCCUGCUCUACCAAGGCUUCUUCAAUGCCCGAAGUUCGCAACUAGCUUAAAUAAAAUAACUAACCCCGCAGAUAAACGUUGAAGAAGACAUCGACUGCUCUGCUGAUGCAGUGGGAGCUGUACUCGCUACAACAGCAAAAAUCUAAACACUCAACACAACUCCUUUUAAACCAACCAAAUCUUUAAACAGAAAAGAAGAAGACGCCCAACGCCGCUACAUAGAGAAAAUUUUACCAUACAGCUCAAGGCAUCCACUGUGGAGGGCCCAUCACAAACCAAGCUCUCCAAUAGAGAGUCCUGGUUUAAUGGACGCUAGACGGGCUUAUGCACAAAAGGACAAAGCUGCUGCCACAAAACACCCAUAACCUGCUCUGCUCUACAAAGGAGACUUUUCCGUAAGAGUUAUCUCUUGAUUUAUUUUCUGGUGCUCCUUCUGGAUUUCUGGCCUUUCUCGAGUAAUCACCUGAUUCCAUUUGCCUUGGGCGCUACAGUUGGAACUCUCCUUGCCGACCUGAACGGAAAUAUCUCGGGACCCCCGCAAGCUUCUGGUUUUCUUUGGUCUUAUACGAUUUGUAAGUUCAAUAUUGAAAAUUUGUCUAGGCGCGAGGUUUUAUAUUUUUGCCAUGUUCUUUAUGGUUGCAUAUGAAAACUAUCAGCUAAAUAACACUUAAAAGUGCGCCAACACAUUUUCGGAACGGCAAAACCUUGCGAACCCUAUUUGUGCCUUACGUACAAAUGAGAAUGAAAUGGGUUAUAGAUCCAUUGUUUGGAUUAUCUAAAAAAAAAACCAAGCUUUUCUGAGAACCUUACCGAUCGUUCAUAUGGCAUACGCACGAUUACGACUACCAAUUUGCAGUUAUAAUAACUCUUCCUUGUGACAUUUUAUCACCAAUCCAAGCUGAUGCUGACCUGAUCCAAUUAUGAUUAUGGAAUUAGCAAAGAUAGAAACCUUAUUCAAUCUUUCAUAUCUUCACAUACCUCGGCAAUAAUUUUGUUUCACAGCAACAUAA